UGACAACGGACGGCACUGGAGCAGAGAGGCUGACUCUGCCCGAGGAGACGGGGGAGGCUUGGACCCCAGGCUGGAGGGGGCUGGGGACCCAGACCCACUCACUUGAUUUAGAAGGACACGGGGCUGUCAAACCUAUGCAGGGUCAUCACACCCCGCCCUUCGUUCGUCCCUUUUCGGCCAAGCUCAGGACACUGUAACCCUGGAAGACAAGCUUGUGGUUCUGAGAUGACCCAGGGAAUUGGCCAAUCCCACCCGAACCCCUUGUUCCUUCCUCUGGUCAUUGACGCUCCUCCCAGACGGCUUCGAGAGCCCCGCAGAUCCUUCCACCACUCCCCAGCCCAGAAGAUCCAGGGACAGAAGUCCUCGAGGUUCUGGCUGGGCCCAUGUGCUGAGAUGCCUCUGAGAAAGCUGUCUUUCCAUGAUGGAUCCCGCUGGACGCCCGUGAACACGGGGCCAGCUUGCAGAGAGCUGGAAGGAGGCCUCCUGGCGGCACCCAGGCCUGUCACAGGAUGGCACAGCAGAUGCAGCCGUGGGCCUGGGGUCUGGGGUUCCUAGUUGGUGGCCAGGAGAGGAGGCCAGAAGACUCCAUGGCUCCCAGGGCCUGGUCGCAGCUGAGAGGCUCCCUGUCACGAUGGCCAAUAGCCCUUUCUCUAGGGACAAGGAUGGGAUGCCACACGCCGCUCCUGACGCCGUGACACGGAAUCAUGCUGCGUGUCCCUUGUUUCCGGAUUUCUCUUCUGUGGCUUAUUGAUGGCACUGAAGCACCGCACAGCAAUGACGUCUGUCCUGGCAGGGCACAUGCACUCUGCGUCUGAACGAGUAUUGAGCUAAUUCCAAAGCCCAGUAGAGACGUGGGCCGUGCGUUUAUCUGGAGGAGACCAGGCAUGCUGUGGUUGGCUCUGGCUGCAGGACCCUGGGCUGAGCACUGACCCAGGCCACCCCAAGUCACCAAAAGAGGGUAGGGAGGGGUGGACAAAAGUAUUUCUUUUGCCUAUUUUCCUGCCAGUGUCCAGUUUCAAAUGUACUGUUUUUAAACUACAUUAGCACUUUCUGCCCUGCGGCCUGCAGUGAUUGUGCUGUGAUUAUUAACACUUCAUAAAUAAUAAUGCAGCAUUUCCCCA
rnacentral:lncRNA from 1 species